UACGUAGGGUGCAAGCGUUGUCCGGAAUUAUUGGGCGUAAAGAGCUCGUAGGCGGUUUGUCGCGUCUGCUGUGAAAACCUAGGGCUUAACCCUGGGCUUGCAGUGGAUACGGGCAGACUAGAGGUAGGUAGGGGAGAAUGGAAUUCCUGGUGUAGCGGUGAAAUGCGCAGAUAUCAGGAGGAACACCGGUGGCGAAGGCGGUUCUCUGGGCCUUACCUGACACUGAGGAGCGAAAGCGUGGGGAGCGAACAGG
rnacentral:rRNA from 1 species